rnacentral:lncRNA from 1 species
GUGCGUAUUGUUAUGCGUUUACUUUUCUACAUUGGCUAGAGGUAUAGGGGGAGGGUUGAGAUCUCACAAACAUGUUUAACCCCGCCGCAUUUUUGCGCCUGUCCCAAGUCAGGAGCCUCUGGCCUUUGUUAUUCUUGUAUUAUUUUAAUUUUAGUUUCUUGUGUACAAUUUGGAAAUUAGUAUGGCGUUCAUUAUCACUGAACUAGUAUAUAUUUGUUUAGGG